UUAAAUAUGGAACACUUCACGAAUUUGUGUGUCAUCCUUGUGCAGGGGCCAUGCUAAUCUUCUCUGUACCAUUCCAAUUUUAGUAUAUGUGCUGUUGAAGCGGGCAC
rnacentral:snRNA from 1 species